UGUCACAUCAAAGCCAUUAACGACCAUGCCAGGUGUUACAUAAAAAUCACUUACACAGAAAACUAAACAGAGGCAGUAUGGCGUGCCGAUCAAGGUUUCGGAGCCAACUCAGUCAUGGAUCUGCCUGGAAAACGUAGGCCAAGCCUUCUCCUUCCCUGAGUUUCUAUAUCAUCUUUUAUAAAAAUAGAGAUAAUACAACCCAAUUUAGAGGGUUGUUACGAUAAGUGAAUGAACGGAAAUCCGUGAAAUCCUCUGACACCAGCCUCGGAUAGCCCAAGAUAGAAAAUGGAAGCUUGGGAAGCAAAUUACUACAAGAGUAGCCGUUCAAGUGACAAAAGAAUUCUCUGCAGGACCUUGUUAAUUGGCAAUGGCACCCUACACGUUUGCCAGCAUGGCUCACGAGAUUGCGAGAUUGCGUGUAUUUCUUCAAAGGCAAUGAAUAAAACCCACCCAAACUCUGGUUUGCUUGAGAUUCUCUCCCCGGAGGAUACAUGAUUGCAGGAAAAACUGGAGCUGGGGUGCUCCACCCUUCCCACGGCUGUCUCCAAAACACACUGGCCAAAUGGAAUUAGGCAAAGUUCACGACAUAAGACUCCAUUAAAUUCUACAAACUGGUAUUGUGUUCUCAACUAUGUCCAGCACAGUGCUGGGCCCUAGGGAUACCAAACUGAGUAAGAACAUAACCAGAAAAUGGCAUAAUGAGAGUUGGGUGGUAUAAUAGAUUAAAGCACAUGGAUACUA